rnacentral:lncRNA from 1 species
GGAGCACUGAUUCUCAAAAAGUAAAGCCAAAUGAGAGUGGGUCACAAACGCAAUUGCCUAAAAUUAAAAACAGACACAACGGGCAACUGAAGAUGAACUGGAUUUACUUGGCAUUUCUGAAGUACCCAGUUUUCAGGCAAUAAAUUCAUCUUUCAGGAGGAAUUGGUUUCCAAACACAUUUCAAAUUAAAAUUCACAGUUUGUUUAAUGAAAGUCUGUGGCGUGAGAACAUAGAUUUUAGGCAAUCAAGCUACUCUGAUGGGUACACUGAAACUUUAUCUUCAUGGAUCCAAAUCCUCAAGUUAAGAGUUACAUGUAAUAGUAGAACUAAUCUUUCUGCAUCAUUAACAUCAUUACUAUAUUCAUUCCACAUACAUUUCUAAAAUAUGAAAUCCCAUGUCCUUCUCUUAAACAUUUUUAAUUUCCAAACUUGGGAAAAAAAAAAAAAUAGGUGUUUUUUACAAAUUAAGCAGAGGAAGUUUUUUGUGGGUUUUUGUUGUUGUUUUUUUUUUUUUUUUUCUUUUUAGGGCCACACCUGUGGCAUAUGUAAGUUCCCAGGCUAGGGGUUGAAUUGGAGCUACAGCUGCCAAACAUAGCCACAGCCACACCAGAUCCAAGCCACGUCUGCAACCUAGACCACAGCUCAUGGCAACACCAGAUCCUUAACCCACCGAGCAAGGCCAGGGAUCGAACCCACAUCCUCAUGGAUCCUAGUCAGAUUCAUUAACCACUGAGCCACAAAGGGAACUUCAUAAGCAGAGUCUUAUUUACUGACACAUAUAUGAAGACAUUUUCUCUUAGUAUAUUUAAGGUUCCUAGAACCUAAAAUUACUGCCUGGUCUGAUUUUCAGCAUUCUGGUGUCUAAUCUUUUGAAACAGCGAGAGCCAAUGAAACUGAAAACCUGUGAAAUGUGCCAGUGCCACCAUUCAAGAACAUUAUGAUUGAAAUUCCACUAAGGGCUUCUCUCAAAAUGAUCCCAACUGAUGAAAUGACCCCAGUUAUCAUAAUAAACUAAAUUGCACUAUAGCAACCAAUGCAUUUGCAAUAUCGAGUGUGUGAAGUACAACAUUUUCCCUGAGGGGCAGCAUGCUACAGUGCAGUGUACAGUGGUGCAUCCAUCAGGAAAUCUCUUUUUGAAUACUCUUCCUCAGACGUGCAGCAUAAUCCCUCUGUGCUUUAGUAAAACAGGGACAAGCACCAACAGCUAUAAUUCACUAGGCAAAUGUGAGGAUGAAGUGAAAAGCUCGAUGUGAAAGCACAAAGAACAUUAGUCCAUACCCACGUUUUAGACAAUUCUAUUACCAUAAGGGCCCACAAAACAGCAUAUUGUCUGAAUUAUAUUUAUAAUUAUAUGUGUAUUCAUCACACACAAAAAAAUCAUUGUCACAAAUAAUGAAAAUAAAAUAAGGAAUAAAAUCAGUGAUGUGCAAAGACUAUGCUUUUUGGUAGUAGAAUAAAUACUAUGUAUAUUUUCUCUUUACUUAGGGGUGGCGAUUGGGUUUCCUGGAGUCCAUGUUUAAGAAUAAUUAGCAACAUGGUGGCUGAACACAUGAUUAAAUGUGUGUCAAGCAUUAGCUAAUACCCAAUUUGGGAAAUAUCUUUUCUUACCUAAAAGACAUGGUCCAGGUUUCAAUUUAAUUUUCUGUUGAUAUAAAUUAUUCUGAACAAGCCAGCCAUUUUAAACACCAACUUAUAUUUUAUCAAAUUCUACAUUUUAGUAAAGAAAAAUAUCUGUUUCACAACCUGCUAUCAAGUCAUGCUUACAAAUUACAAACUGCUUCUUCUAAAUCCUCCAGGAUUCACUAUAGAAAAUGUAAAAUGUAAACAGCAUUUUACCAUCACGUGUCCUCCAGUCCUCCAUUUAACAGGUACCUGACAAAUGUUUGUUAAAUAAACAAAUAAUAGUGAUAACAAUUAAAUUAAACUGCAUACUACCUUGGCUAAUGUGCAAAAAAAAAAAAAAACCCACAAAAAAUCCCCACAAAAAACCUCAACCAGUCUCCUGUAUUUACUCAAAAUAAGCUAUUUUAAAUAUCAUCAUUUUAAAUCAAGAACUAUUCAACAAAAUGCAAAAUGUUAGCCAACCAGAGCAAAAAAAAAUUUAUAGAUUUUCAAAAUUCACAGGGAGAGAAGUAUUUUCAUAUGACUGCAAUAUUUAUGAACUUACAAAAAGCACUGACUAUUUGAGAAUGUUGUUGCAGAAAUAAUAUUGCUGGAAACGUUCAAAUGCUGGGCUAAUACAGUUAGAGAAAUUAUUUUAAAAUUCUUUAUUUAAUUAGUCUCCACUUAACAUAGUGCCAAGUUUCUCUUACCCAGCCUCCCUUCUGUAUUAAAACUAACUGCACAGUGAAUUACAUCUCCAAGUCAGUAUAACCAUAAAUGAAGGUCAGAUGAUUGCAUAUAAUUAUUUCAAGUCUACAAAGUACAGCACAGAUGUAGCCACAGUGAACAAACACAGAAAUAAAAACAGAAAUCAAUUCACUUGUACAUAUGGAGCAACCCAAUUUUCCAAAGAAAACAGAUAUUAUCUUUUUAAUUCCAGUUUACCCUCAACAUUUCCAAAGGAGAACACUGACUUUGUUUCAAAUAUUACCUAGUUUGCCAUUAUUUGCUUAUAUGAUAUAAGAUGGGUGUGCAUUAACAGUCACAAAAAGAAACGGUCUGAACCAAGGGCAAUCCACAUUAUCCUCCCUAAAUUACCUCACAUCUGUGAACAAUCCAUCUUUCUCCUGUUACCAAUCAAGGAUGCUGGCAAGGAUCCCUUCAAACUCCAGGAUGCAUAGCCAGAUAUUUAGAAGGUUCACUCUGAGAACACCCACUACUUCCGGUUAGAAAGGUGAAAGAUGAAGUUUCUGGUCUACAGUCAUGAGCAUCAUAAGGGCAUGCAUGAAAAGACAUUUCUUGAAAUGUCAAGAUAAGUAAGACCCAAGCGGUCCGCAUCACAGAAAUCGCAGAGGAGAUAAAGUGGACCAUACACAUAUUUAAACAAGUCACUUUAACUACACCUGGUAAGCACCAUCACAGAAAAAAAUUCUGUGUGACUGAGGAACAAUUAUGAAUGGUGAGAGACGAUGGCUGAAGAGGAGAGUGAAGACCAAAGUAUGAAAGAUCACGAGUAACACGUCAUCUCACAGGCCCCUUCCAAAGUGAUCCAAGGACCAGUAUCACCAUCAAUGGAGGACUUAAAAUGCAAAUUCUCAGGCCCUCAAGGCCCCUCGGAAACACAAUUUGCCUGCUAAUAAAAUCUCCAGGUGAUAUGUCUGCCCUUUAAAGUACUGGAAGGACCUCUACAGGCCAGUGUUUCUUCUUCGAAACAGCCAGGCGUGGGCACGUGAAAGCAUGGGGGUAAAUGCACUAACACACAGAAGAAACCCGAAAAGAAAAAUAAAAUGGCAACAGCAUUUUCUCUUUUCUGUUUCCUUUCCUCCCUCCUGUGCUCUUAUUAUACCACUAACAACAACAAUAAUGAUGAUAAGCAACCAUUUAUUAAGUAUUCUCGAAGUACCUCAGAUUUAGCCCUGCAUUAUCUUAUUUAACAUGCAUGCUGAUUAUCUUUUGAUUAUGCUUCACUCCUAUUUUUCAGAGGAGAAAACUGAGCCUGAGAGAGAAUAAAUACUUCCCCAAGGCCAGAGCUAACAAACUACGGAAACCAAAUUUAACUCUUUUUGUUCCUAACCAAAAUGCCAUAGAAUCCAAGGGUUACUUGAAUCAGUGCUUUUACCACUCAGUGAUAUAAUGGCUUACUUGCUAAAGUGCAGACUAUAAGCAAUGGUUCUAUAAUUUUUAGUUCUCUUUAUGCUUAAAGCUCCUGGUGAUAUGCCAAUAAUUGUUUAAACCAUAUCCUAUUCAUUUUAAUGGAAAACAAUCCUGAAUAUAUUUGGCUAAUCUUAAAAGGUAUUAUAGAUAAUGAUGGCAUUACGACAUUUUGAUAUUAAAGUACAUUAUAAAAUAUCUAACAUAAUAUACUCACUAUUGCAAAACACACCUAGGGGCUUAACACAAUAAUUUAUGAUUGUUUAUAAUUCUGCAAUGUAGACUAGGUCCAGCUGAGUGGGUUUUUUUUUUUUUUUUUUAACCAAAGCAAUAGUUGGAACAUUCAAUAUGGCUUCUUCAUUCACAUGUCUGGGGUCUCGGCUCAGAAGCUAGAACAUCUGUGGCUACCUACUCUUCUCUUUGUCCAUAUGAUUCUGCCAGCAGGGUGGCUGGACCUCUUUCAAGGUGACUCAGGGCUCCAAGUAACAUUCCCUAAGAACAAGCCCCAUAUAAAAGCGCUUAUUAAACACCGGUUGGAGUUCCUGCCGUGGCUCAGCAGUUACCUCCAUGAAGACACAGGUUCAAUCCCUGGCCUCGCUCAGUGGGUUAAGGAUCCAGCGUUGCCACAAGCUUUGGUGUGGUUCACAGACGCAGCUCGGAUCCUGCAUUGCUGUGGCUGUGGCAUAGGCCAGUGGCUACAGCUCCAAUUUGACUCCUAGCCUGGGAACCUCCAUAUACCACGGGUGCAGCUCCAAAAAGACAAAAAAANAAAAAAAAAAAAAAA